CACGUAGUUAGCCGUGGCUUUCUGGUUAGGUACCGUCAAGGUACCGGCAGUUACUCCGGUACUUGUUCUUCCCUAACAACAGAGCUUUACGACCCGAAGCCUUCAUCGCUCACGCGGCGUUGCUCCAUCAGACUUUCGUCCAUUGUGGAAGAUUCCCUACUGCUGCCUCCCGUAGGAGUCUGGGCCGUGUCUCAGUCCCAGUGUGGCCGAUCACCCUCUCAGGUCGGCUACGCAUCGUCGCCUUGGUGAGCCGUUACCUCACCAACUAGCUAAUGCGCCGCGGGCCCAUCUGUAAGUGACAGCCGAAACCGUCUUUCAGCUCUUCCUCAUGAGAGGAAAAGGAUUAUCCGGUAUUAGCCCCGGUUUCCCGGAGUUAUCCCAGUCUUACAGGCAGGUUGCCCAGUGUUACCUCACCCCGUCGCCGCUGACCUUCCGAAGAAGUCCGCUCGACUUGCAUGUAUAGGCACGCCGCCAGCGUUCGUCUGAGCCAGAUCAAACUCU
rnacentral:rRNA from 1 species